GAUGAACGCUGGCGGCGUGCCUAAUACAUGCAAGUCGAGCGAACAGAUGAGGAGCUUGCUCCUCUGACGUUAGCGGCGGACGGGUGAGUAACACGUGGAUAACCUACCUAUAAGACUGGGAUAACUUCGGGAAACCGGAGCUAAUACCGGAUAAUAUAUUGAACCGCAUGGUUCAAUAGUGAAAGACGGUUUUGCUGUCACUUAUAGAUGGAUCCGCGCCGCAUUAGCUAGUUGGUAAGGUAACGGCUUACCAAGGCAACGAUGCGUAGCCGACCUGAGAGGGUGAACGGCCACACUGGAAGUGAGACACGGUCCAGACUCCGACGGGAGGCAGCAGUAGGGAAUCUUACGCAAUGGGCGAAAGCCUGACGGAGCAACGCCGCGUGAGUGAUGAAGGUCUUCGGAUCGUAAAACUCUGUUAUUAGGGAAGAACAAAUGUGUAAGUAACUAUGCACGUCUUGACGGUACCUAAUCAGAAAGCCACGGCUAACUACGUG
rnacentral:rRNA from 1 species